rnacentral:ncRNA from 1 species
CUGAGAAACGGCUACCACAUCCAAGGAAGGCAGCAGGCGCGCAAAUUACCCAAUCCCAACUCGGGGAGGUAGUGACAAUAAAUAACAAUGCAGGGCCUUCUGGC